AUCACUUGUUGGUAUUCAGGCAAAGAUCAAGUAUAGUUUCUGUUUUUAUCAGAUUAAUAUCUGAAAUGUCCUCUAUCUGAGGACAAUAUAAUACAUGGAGUUUUUUUAUAGUACACAGAAUAGAAGCUUGCUCUGUCUGUUCCACACAUAGGCUUGAUAUUGCAGAACCUCCAGGAAUGGAGCACCACCA
ensembl:snRNA U2 U2 spliceosomal RNA